rnacentral:lncRNA from 1 species
CUAGUAUGUAUAUAUGCACUGUCCGGCUGAAGUGGAGAAGAUGGAAGAAACACACCUUCUUCGAAAAUUUCUGCCUAUUUUCACCGCCUCAUUUCGGCCUCCGUAUAUGGUGAAUAUGAAGAUUCCGGCUGAAAAAAAUAACUUUCAUUUUCUACCUAAUUGUGUUAAUGGGUUACGUAUGAAACUCCCCUUUCCCGUUUUGUGUCACUGGACUUCCUUUUUUAAGAGGAAACGAAUUGAAGAUGAGAUGAACUAAUU